CAGAGAGAAGCCUGUCACACUGAAUGGUAUCCAGAUUAGAGCUGUGAGAAUUUGGGAAAACCCUUCUCGCUAAGCUCUUCCAUCAGAGAAAGGAGAGCGGGGCCAGUUGGACUUCAGACCUCAGACCACGCUUGGUUUUCUCAGGUUUCCCUGUACACAAAGGGAAAUUUUCCACAGAGGCCCAGCCAGGAGGUACAGCUAGAUCUUGGAGUGGCUGCUGAACCUGGGCAUGUGAAUGUGCCACCCUAGAUCUGCUGACAGUCAACUGAUCCCAAGACACAUGAGCAAAGCCAGCUGAGGUAGAUGGACUCUAGGGUGACAACCGGUGAUUCCCAAUUCCUGGAGUUCAUAGCUUUAUGAAUCCCCUUCCCUUAAGUGUGAGUGGACUUGUGACUCGUUUCUAACCAACAGAGUAUGGUAGAGAUGAUGGAAUGUCACUCACAUGACUGUAUUAGUCAUACAAGACUCCAUCUCAGUAGAGUCACUCUUGCCCUCCUGCUGGCCUUUAAGAAGGAAGCAGAAAUGUGUGCAAUGUGGAGAGGUUCAUGUGGCAGGCAAAAAAAAGGGGGAGGAACUGAGGGCAUCACUGCUACAGCUGUAAGGAACUGAAUUCUGCCAAUGAACUGAGUGAGUUUGAAGUAUACUCUUCCCCAAUCAAACCUCCAGAUGAAAGCACAGCCUAGCCAGCACUGUGACUGCAGCUGGUGAGACCCUAAAGCAAAGAACCUGGCUAAGCCAUACUCAGAUUCAUAACCCACAGAAGCUGUGAGAUAAUAAGUGUGUAUUGUUUUAAGCCACUAAGUUUGUGGCGGAAGAACCACCCUGGUGACCCACAGCUUUGUGAACUAAAUAAAUGCUUUUUGUUGUAUUCCACUGAGUUUUGGGUGGAGCCAAGUUGCUCUCAGUCAUCUCAGCUAGAAGCGCCAACCCUCGUACAUGUGCCCAAGUCCAGCCAAGAUCGCCAGAGUCACUAAGCUAAGCCAAAUAGGACCACAGACACACAAACAAGUC